UUCGGCAUGGUCUAGUGGUUAGGAUACCUGGCUCUCGCCUAGGACCCCCAGGUUCGAUUCCCGGUGACGGAC